rnacentral:misc_RNA from 1 species
GCAAACUUGGUCAUUUAGAGGAAGUAAAAGUCGUAACAAGGUUUCCGUAGGUGAACCUGCGGAAGGAUCAUUAUCGAGAUCUCGGGGUCCCCUUCCGGGGCCCCGGCCCUCCCACCCUGUGCGUACCGUGCCCCUUCUUGGUUGCUUCGGCGGUGCUGGCGCCGCCGGGGACCCGUCCAAACUCUGUGUCAACCGUGCCGUCUGAGUGUAUGAUACAAUAGCUAAAACUUUCAACAACGGAUCUCUUGGUUCUGGCAUCGAUGAAGAACGCAGC